UACGGAGGGUGCAAGCGUUAUCCGGAUUUACUGGGUGUAAAGGGUGCGUAGGUGGGUUGGUAAGUCAGUGGUGAAAUACUUUCGCUUAACGAAGGAACUGCCAUUGAUACUAUCAAUCUUGAAUGUAGUGGAGGUAGGCGGAAUGCGUCAUGUAGCGGUGAAAUGCUUAGAUAUGACGCAGAACACCAAUUGCGAAGGCAGCUUGCUACACUACUAUUGACACUGAGGCACGAAAGCGUGGGGAUCAAACAGG
rnacentral:rRNA from 1 species